rnacentral:rRNA from 1 species
CGCUCUCUGUUAUGAAAAUGNUUAAAUAGAGAGUCGGACCUGCCCAGUGACAUGCGUGUUAAACGGCCGCGGUACUCUGACCGUGCAAAGGUAGCAUAAUCACUUGCCUUUUAAUUGGAGGCUUGUAUGAAUGGUUUGACGAGAGCUAAGCUGUCUCCUUUUUAAAUAUUUAAAAAUUAACUUGUAGGUGAAGAGGCCUAUAUGUAUUUGAGGGACAAGAAGACCCUGUUGAGUUUGAGUGUAGCCUGGAAUUAAAUUUUAUUUAGUUUUGGUUAAAUUAUAGGUAAUAAAGUUGUAUAUAAUAGAGGCUAGGUUUUUGGUAAAUCUUUAGUUGGGGCGACUGAGGAAUAUAGUAAGCUUCCUUUAAAUGUAUUAUGGCUGUCAAGUUAGUUUGAUCCAGUUUUUACUGAUCAAAGGAAAAAAUUACCACAGGGAUAACAGCGUAAUCUUUUUGGAGAGUUCUUAUCGAAGAAAGGGUUUGCGACCUCGAUGUUGGACUAAGAUAUCCCGAGGGUGUAGAAGCUUUUGAGGGUUGGUCUGUUCGACCAUUAAAAUCUU